rnacentral:misc_RNA from 1 species
GAUGAAGAACGUAGCGAAAUGCGAUACGUAGUGUGAAUUGCAGAAUUCAGUGAAUCAUCGAAUCUUUGAACGCACAUUGCGCCCGCCAGUAUUCUGGCGGGCAUGCCUGUUCGAGCGUCAUUACAACCCUCAGGCCCCCGGGCCUGGCGUUGGGGAUCGGCGGAAGCCCCCUGCGGGCACAACGCCGUCCCCCAAAUACAGUGGCGGUCCCGCCGCAGCUUCCAUUGCGUAGUAGCUAACACCUCGCAACUGGAGAGCGGCGCGGCCACGCCGUAAAACACCCAACUUUCUUAGAGUUGACCUCGGAUCAGGUAGGAAUACCCGCUGAACUUAAGCAUAUCAAUAAGCGGAGGA